GUGUGAUGUCACUGCAAGAGGAAGUGAAGGCCCUGCCUCCUCAGCUACAAGUCAGUGCUCAUGCAGACUUGGAGUGCAGAGAUGAAUCGUGCGCUUGUAUGUGUGCUGAUGGCCGCUUGGAGCCUCGGAAGCAACGGCCAGACGGUGCACCAGCCGACACCGGACGUGCAAACAGUGGAGGGUGAAACAGUGACGCUGGAAUGUAGCUACGACAGAUCAGCGAGCAACGACUACAUCUUCUGGUACAAACAAGAAGCAAACGCAGCGCCCGAGUUCAUCCUGAGCCGAUUUAAGCUCGGUCAAGGCAAGACGGAGGAAAAGUACGCAAAGAGGUUUCACUGUAGAGUGAACGCCAGUACCUCGCAAGCUCCUCUGCAUAUCGACAAUGUGAAGCCCAGCGACUCGGGAGUCUUCUACUGCGCCCUACAGCCCACACUGACACAUCCACUGACGUGCCUGUACAAAAACACCUGUAGCCGCCUUUUUUCACAAGUUACAGUAAAUGGGUCACAGUGUAGCAGAGCUACAAUUCAGCGUGAUGACAUACUAAAAACUCAGCGUGAGGAUGAUAUUUUCGCUGUGAACCAACAGGCCUUAAAAUUGACUGAAUGGUAGAGUGUCCACCCUGAGGCUGGAAGGUUGUGGGUUCAAAUCCUAGCCGGGUCAUACCAAAGACUAUAAAAAUUGGACCCAUUGCCUCCCUGCUUGGCACUCAGCAUUAAGAGUUGGAAUUGGGGGGUUAGAUCACCAAAUGAUUCCUAAGCGCGGCACCACUGCUGCUCACUCCUCCCUCUCCCCGAGGGGAUGGAUCAAAAUCACACGGGGAUGGGUUAAAUGCAGAGGACAAAUUCACCACACCCAGAUGUGUGUGUAAUGACGAUCAUUGGGAUUUUAUCUUUAAUGUUUAAAGUUUUCAUGAUAUUAAUUUA